CCUCCACCCCAACUAGUGCCACUGUUACCUGGAGAUUGAGUCCUGCACCUGCCCACCAGAUCCACCGGUCCAAGCACAUCGAGGGGAUCUAUGUGCUGGGGUGUGAACGAGGCAGUGGCUUCAUCCAUCCUCGGAUACAACAACAGCUCCAGACCCACGACAUUUCCCUCCUGCACCAUCCACACUCCCACCACAGCCACAACCACGAGCCCGGCCCCACCACCCACACCCUGGAGCAAAGGGAGUCGUCCACUUCAGAGCAUGCGGAGUGGCCUGACAGUGGAGGAGGGCCCCACACCUCACUGGCAGAGGAGAACGUUGAGCACAUCCUCUUAGAAAAUGAGUCUGGGAGAAGCACUACAUCCUCCAACACCACUGUUGGGGAGGAGGGAGGUGAUGACUUCCCACUGCCACCCACCUGUUCCAACCUGAGAGUGAUGGGCCACACCCUUGUCCUGGCCAGGUCCUCCUUCCAGGUGGUGGGGCU
rnacentral:lncRNA from 1 species